UCUAUUUGUGGGAAAGUUGAAAAAGGCCCUUGUUCAGUCAUAGGAAGGUUUGAAAAAGCAUCAUCAUGGAGGUUGCUUUUCAGCAACUCAGUAAGCAUUAGAUGUGAUAGUGUCAGAAAUAAAAAAAGAGAGCAUCUUGGGCUGGUCCAACGAGGCUUCUAUCUACCCAAAGACCAAAACUAAUGGGCUAGUGCGUGAAAGGCUGGUUGACAACAUCGACUGACUCCAGCAUCUGACACGCUCAUGGAACCAGUGUAUUGCUUUGCCUGCCCAAAACAGGGCCAGGGAAGAAAGAGCCCGUACCAACAUCUGAGUAAAGAACCAUGCCCUCGCAGCAUCAAUCAUAUUACCUCCCAGCAUAUCGAAUUGAGUGUUUUUUGAGUACUCGGUUCCCCUUUAACUAAAAAAUUGUUUUGUUUUAAUUGGUCUCCCAAAGAUUAGGUUACACGCUAACCAGUCUAAAAGAAAGUACUUUUCCUAUGGGGUAUGUUCUUUCGGGAAAACCUCUAUUUCCGAUGUCUAUAUGUGCCUAUGUGGUAUAUUACAUUUCAUGAUAUGCUACAGUACAAAGUAGAAACAGUUGGCACCUUUUGGACAUAAUCCAAAAGGGAAGUAGAACUAAGGCCGUGCAUAAUCCAUGCAAGAUAAGGUUAAAGAAAUCUUCAUUAUUGUCCUAUAAUAGAAAAUUGCACUGUAAAUAGACUCAACCUGUGGCAUGACUAAGUUCUUAUAAUAUCUGAGUUUUCCUCAAAGUGCAAUCAUAAACUUUUGUAUCCAUGCCCACUUAGAAUUACCAGGUAUAAUUGAGAGUUAAGGUCCGCCGUACCAACCAUACUGAUGUACCCGUGGGCACUGGUACCGGUACGGUAUCGAUACCGUACCAUACCGAACCGAACCGGGUCAUACCGACCUAGCUCGGGGACAGCGCGCGCGAGAGCGUGCAGGAGCGUGGGCGCGCACAAAAUACGUUUUCACGCAUUUUUCUCAUUUUUUCAUUUAAAACCGCAACCACGCAACGCGUUUUCCUGCGCCGUUUCCCUUGUGGACGCGUUCCCCGCGCGGGCGCAUUUCCCGUGUCGAAUUUUCUUCAUUCUUCCUGAGCCUUCUCGUUUCUUCUCCUCUUUCCUGCGCUCUUCUCCUCUCUCCUCCAGUCUUCUCCCGCGAGCAAGCCCCGACGAGGAUCACCCCGAUGAGGCCCGGUACCUGUAAGUCUCCUUUUUCUCUUCCUCUCCUCUUUCUCUUCUUCUUUCUUCCUCUUAUUUCCUGUUCUUCUUCUUCCUCUUCUUUCUUUUUCCCCGUGCCGGUACCAGAUGGUACCGGUGCGAACCGAAGUGGUUCGCAUCAGUACGCAGCAGGAACCAGUCGGUUCCGACCCCUAUGCCGAAACCGUUUUCCACGGCCGAACCAUACCGGUUGGCCUCAGUACCGGUACAGUACGUACGGGCCGGUUCAGCAUACGUUGAUUGAGACAAACAGUCAAAAAUUUUCUGUGGGAAAAAGUCUGCAAAAUUUGCUAAAUUAGCUUGUCGUAAGUAAAAACUGCCAAUAUGUAAUCUAUAUAUCUUCAUGUAGGCAAAGAAUUGCGCCAUAUUAGAGAUCCUAACAUUAAGCAUACAAAAAAAUUCUUGUUGGACCCAUAAGUAACCUAAGUUAAACUCUUACUCUCAUUUCUUAUGCAGUCACAGACAUGAGAAGAACUGAUGUAGAUGUGAUCUAGCAGAAUGAACCAACAACAAAGGGAACCAGAAUAAAAUUUCAAAUCUGAAAUAUACAAAAUCUAAAUAUAUUUCAGAUUUUCUGUAUUGAAAAACUGCUAUCAGGAACAAAACAUUGCCCUUGAUGGCAAUUAUUUCCAUGACAUGAGGUGAUUAAUCAAACCCAAAAAGAGGAAAUGAGUGUUCUAGACAGCACAUAAAUAGAUCAGAAAGCAGUCAUAUGGAUUAUUCAUCACCAAAACUGACCUCACGCUCUUCUUUUUCUCCUUUUACAUCAUGACAAGACUUGAUGACUAGGAAAUAUUUUAAACCUUUCUCCCUAAGAAAGAAAUAAUAAAAAGAAACAAAUAGGACCCUUCAAGCAUUUCCUAGCAAAACAUAGUAGAAGACUUCCUAAAAUGGAAAAAAAUUGUAUUUCUAGGGUACAACCAAAAAGAAAAUCAAAACCUUCAUGACUAUGGAACUUCUCAACCCAACCUUGAUCCAAAGACUGCAAACAACAAAGUUUUCUAAGACAAGGCAACAUAAUCGCUUAGACAAGAGCCUUGAAUUUGCAUCAGAAAAAUUGAAAGAAGAAAGCAAAACCAGUUAGAAUUACAUCAACCAAGAUUCACAGUACUGGUGCAUACCGCUCUAUACCGAGCACAUUGUACUGCACGGGUACCAAACCAAUACUCAUACCCUCAUACUAGGUGUACCAAUAUGGUACUUGUGAGGACCCGUGUGGGGGUGUAUUUAGUCCCACAUAGGCUAUGCAUUAGGUAGAUCUUGGAUACUUAUACACGGUCAAGCAAGGUUCGCAAUCUCGGUAUCGGGUACCGUAUCGAUAUCUUAUAAGUUUGGUACGAUAUGAUACGCUCCUGUACAGAAAUAGCUCUUUAACAAUUUUUGCUAAUUUUUAUUUUAUUAUGCCUCAAUACAGGUCAGUAUAAGGUUCGUCAUCUCGGUAUCGGACUCCGUAUCGAUGCCACACUAGCACAAUUCGGUACGGUACAGUUUGAAGUUUUUUUGGCGUACCAAGUGUUAGUACGCCAUCCGUACCGGAUACUGGUACCGAACCGGUAUGGUACAGUAAGCUCCAAACUGUCCAGUUCGGACCAAUAUGACAAACUAUGGGUUAGCAUGCUUCAGUAUGGACUGGUAUGCACUUCGGUACAGCUCGGUACAGGUUAGUACACCUCGGUACGAGGCGGUAUGCAUUGGUACGAGGUGGUACGGGGCUUGUAUCGACUCGAAGUUAAGUUUCGAAUUAGUUUCCUCCUGGCACAAUACGGUAUGCCCCGUACCAAAUGAUGUGAGGGGGUACGAAAACCAUAUGGUCAAGAAAUCUAAAUAACAUCUUCUGGCUAACUUUUUUGCAUGAGGUCCUAGGUUGACCAAGCCAUAUCGUAUCAAAUCAGGCGGUAAGGGACGUACCAUAACAGUACCAACUACCAAAUCUGUAUGUAGUACAGGAGAUGUACUGACACUCGGUACGCAAACCGUCCUCCGUACCAAGUGUAUCGACAUAAUAACAGGGUGGCACUGGUACAAGGCCCAGAAUCGAUACGACGUACCUUGAUUGUGACAAAUAAUAUCAAAGCAGAUCCAGCCCAUGGCUCGUGUGGACCAGAUGAUGCUACAACAUGGGCCUAUUUGGGCUGAUCACAUGUUGUUUGUGGUGUUUGUGAUUGAAUUUAUGGUACUUAUAAAUAGAUUUAGAUCCUAAGCUUGGCGAGGAUGUUAAGGCUUAAAUAAGGGAAGGAUGUCAGAAUCCGUGCGGCGUUUGUUGAGUCCCAUAUCAGUUAGAUAGAUUUUGGGUACUUAUAUAGGACUAAUGAACCCAAAUAACACUUUCUGGCUAGACUUUUUGGGUAAGGUCCUAGGUUGUGAUAGUAUUGGUAUGGGAUCCGAUACCAAGAUUGCAAACCGACACAAACACUACCAACCUAAUUUACUUGAAGAAUAUUGUGAAGUAUGGAAUAGAAACCCUUAGAAAACAUAACCAAAUAUCAGAUCAUAUAGCAUUCUUUUCCAAAGACACUUAUUUUUGUUUCACCACUAUCAUGGGCUUAUUUUGUCCCAAAUAUCUAUCCAUUGCCCAAACUAGUGUUACCUAGGUUACAAUAUGUUCAUUGUUCCAAAUCUAUCAUGUAUCGAUGCAGUAAAUUCUUAUGAUGUAUUAUACCCUGCAAAGCUGAUACUUAUCCAAUUGAAAUUAUGUUAGAUAAUCCAUAGGUAUAUUACCAAGUACCAAGUGUCUACAAGAAGUACUUGAUGCAAGGAAUGUUGAACUGGCCCAUACCGGCCACUUCAGCCCGUACUGAACCGGUCCGGUCUCUGACUAGGUC
rnacentral:lncRNA from 1 species